rnacentral:misc_RNA from 1 species
ACCAAAGUCACUUCCUUUCCAUGGGAUUGCGAUAGGUAGAAGCCCUCCAUCAAUGGACAAAGCCACUCUCCGUAGGCAAAACCACUCCCUAUGAGCAAAACCGCUCUCUUCAAUGGGCAAAGCUAAAUAACCUUUCCAUUAUUCUCCUAUUUAUAAUGUUAAUUCACCAAUCCUAAUCUGAUUAAAUAUCCAACUCAAUUUAG